GCCGGGCGUGGUGGCACACGCCUGUAGUCCCAGCUACUCAGGAGGCUGAGGCAGGAGAAUUGCUUGAACCCAGGAGGCGGAGGUUGCAGUGAGCCAAGAUCGUGCCACUGCACUCCAGCCUGGGCGACAGAGCAAGAUUCUGUCUCAA
rnacentral:SRP_RNA from 1 species